GACGAACGCUGGCGGCGUGCUUAACACAUGCAAGUCGAACGGUGAAGCGCCUUCCUUUUUGGUGGGUGUGGAUGAGUGGCGAACGGGUGAGUAACACGUGAGUAACCUGCCCCCUUCUUCUGGAUAACCGCAUGAAAGUGUGGCUAAUACGGGAUAUUCUGGGUCUGUCGCAUGAUGGGUCUGGGAAAGAUAUUGUUUCGGUGGGGGAUGGGCUCGCGGCCUAUCAGCUUGUUGGUGGGGUGAUGGCCUACCAAGGCGGUGACGGGUAGCCGGCCUGAGAGGGUGGACGGUCACACUGGGACUGAGACACGGCCCAGACUCCUACGGGAGGCAGCAGUGGGGAAUAUUGCACAAUGGGCGCAAGCCUGAUGCAGCGACGCCGCGUGGGGGAUGGAGGCCUUCGGGUUGUGAACCUCUUUCGCCAGUGAAGCAGGCCUGCCUCGUUUGUGGGUGGGUUGACGGUAGCUGGAGAAGAAGCGCCGGCUAACUACGUG
rnacentral:rRNA from 1 species